AGUACCUUCUGUCAUAUUCUAA
rnacentral:miRNA from 9 species